rnacentral:lncRNA from 1 species
UGUUCAGUUGGUUGUAAAUAGUUAAUGUUGUUACAUAUCUAUUAUUGGCCAAUAUAUCUUAGUCAUUAUUAGUGGCCAAUCCUAUUCUUUCAUCCGUCAUCAUAUUCAUCAUUAACAGGCGUUACAUGAGUUGUCCCAUAAACGGGCAUCAUAACAGCACAUUCCACCAGCCAAUGGAAAGACGCAAAGUACAUAACUGAUUGACAUAUUGACACAAUAGUCCUUCCUAAUGAAAAGUAAGGAAGGAGGAUCGAUGUAUAGAACAUGAUUAUGGAAGCAAUGGAGAAGAAAUUCAUUUUAUUUGUACAUGUACAAUUUUUGUUGAAAGAUUGAUUUCGACUUUGAGAAAUGAGGUUUAUAUAGAGCAAAUAUUCAGUUUAUUUGCUUUUUUAAAGAAGAACUUGAUUAAUGAAAAUAGUUUCUUAUUUUGACAAAAAUAAAGUGCAAAAAAAAUAAUAAUAAUAAUCAAAUUGGAAUAAUAUAAUCGCAUUGUAGUACAAUCCCUACAUAUAAUAUAAAUCAAGCAUAUAAUGUGCUAAUUCAUAAAUUGUCAAAAAUAUUCAUCUUAUUAUGUAGCUAAUUAUAUGAAGGAUGUCAAGGAAAAA